GACGAACGCUGGCGGCGCGCUUAACACAUGCAAGUCGAACGGAAAGGCCUGCUUUCCCUUGUGGAUUGCGGGUACUCGAGUGGCGAACGGGUGAGUAACACGUGAGUGAUCUGCCCCCAACUUGGGUAUAAGCCUGGGAAACUGGGUCUAAUUCCCGAUAGGACUGCAGGGUGGUGCCUGUGGUGCAAAACGAUUUUCUAGUGGUUGGGGAUGAGCUCGCGGCCUAUCAGCUUGUUGGUGGGGUAAUGGCCUACCAAGGCGGCGACGGGUAGCCGGCCUGAGAGGGUGGACGGCCACAUUGGGACUGAGAUACGGCCCAGACUCCUACGGGAGGCAGCAGUGGGGAAUAGUGCACAAUGGGCGGAAGCCUGAUGCAGCGACGCCGCGUGGGGGAUGACGGCCUUCGGGUUGUAAACUCCUUUCGACCGCGAGGAAGCCACCUGGUUGGAAGGGUGGUGACGGUAGUGGUAGAAGAAGCACCGGCUAACUACGUG
rnacentral:rRNA from 1 species